rnacentral:rRNA from 1 species
CCUACGGGUGGCAGCAGUGAGGAAUAUUGGUCAAUGGGCGGGAGCCUGAACCAGCCAAGUCGCGUGAGGGAAGACGGUCCUACGGAUUGUAAACCUCUUUUGCCGGGGAGCAACGGGGUCCUUGCGAGGGCCCAAUGAGAGUACCCGGAGACAAAGCAUCGGCUAACUCCGUCCCAGCAGCCGCGGUAAGACGGAGGAUGCGAGCGUUAUCCGGAUUUAUUGGGUUUAAAGGGUGCGUAGGCGGGCGGUUAAGUCAGCGGUAAAAUGUCGUGGCUCAACCCCGGUCCGCCGUGGAAACUGGCGGCCUUGAGUGGGCGAGAGGUAUGCGGAAUGCGUGGUGUAGCGGUGAAAUGCAUAGAUAUCACGCAGAACUCCGAUUGCGAAGGCAGCAUACCGGCGCCCUACUGACGCUGAGGCACGAAAGCGUGGGUAUCGAACAGGAUUAGAUACCCUUGUAGUC